rnacentral:rRNA from 1 species
AGAGUUUGAUCAUGGCUCAGAACGAACGCUGGCGGCAGGCUUAACACAUGCAAGUCGAACGGUUGUAGCAAUACAGCAGUGGCAGACGGGUGAGUAACACGUGGGAACCUUCCUAGGGGUACGGAACAACUCAGGGAAACUUGAGCUAAUACCGUAUACGUCCGUGAGGAGAAAGAUUUAUCGCCCCUAGACGGGCCCGCGUAGGAUUAGGUAGUUGGUGGGGUAAUGGCCUACCAAGCCUACGAUCCUUAGCUGAUCUGAGAGGAUGAUCAGCCACACUGGGACUGAGACACGGCCCAGACUCCUACGGGAGGCAGCAGUGGGGAAUCUUGGACAAUGGGCGCAAGCCUGAUCCAGCCAUGCCGCGUGAGUGAAGAAGGCCUUCGGGUUGUAAAGCUCUUUUACCAGGGACGAUAAUGACGGUACCUGAGAAUAAGCCCAGGAUUGCC